rnacentral:rRNA from 1 species
CCCUUAGAUGUUCUGGGCCGCACGCGCGCUACACUGACGAUGGCAACGAGUUGUUCCUUCGCCGAAAGGUGUGGGUAAUCUUUUGAAACAUCGUCGUGCUGGGGAUAGAUCAUUGCAAUUUUUGAUCUUGAACGAGGAAUUCCUAGUAAGCGCGAGUCAUCAGCUCGCGUUGAUUACGUCCCUGCCCUUUGUACACACCGCCCGUCGCUACUACCGAUUGAAUGGUUUAGUGAGGACUCCUGAUUGGCGCCGCCGCCCCGGCAACGGAGCAGCGGACUGCCGAAAAGUUGUUCAAACUUGAUCAUUUAGAGGAAGUAAAAGUCGUAACA